rnacentral:rRNA from 1 species
UACGGGGGGGGCAAGCGUUGUUCGGAAUUACUGGGCGUAAAGGGCGCGUAGGCGGCCUUCUAAGUCGAACGUGAAAUCCCCGGGCUCAACCCGGGAACUGCGUCCGAUACUGGAAGGCUUGAAUCCGGGAGAGGGAUGCGGAAUUCCAGGUGUAGCGGUGAAAUGCGUAGAUAUCUGGAGGAACACCGGUGGCGAAGGCGGCAUCCUGGACCGGCAUUGACGCUGAUGAGCGAAAGCUAGGGGAGCAAACGGG